rnacentral:rRNA from 1 species
AACGCUGGCGGCAUGCUUUACACAUGCAAGUCGAACGGUACAGGCCGCAAGGUGCUGACGAGUGGCGAACGGGUGAGUAAUGCAUCGGAACGUGCCCAGUCGUGGGGGAUAACGCAGCGAAAGCUGCGCUAAUACCGCAUACGCACUGAGGUGGAAAGCAGGGGAUCGCAAGACCUUGCGCUAUACGAGCGGCCGAUGUCAGAUUAGCUAGUUGGUAGGGUAAAGGCCUACUAAGGCGACGAUCUGUAGCGGGUCUGAGAGGAUGAUCCGCCACACUGGGACUGAGACACGGCCCAGACUCCUACGGGAGGCAGCAGUGGGGAAUUUUGGACAAUGGGCGAAAGCCUGAUCCAGCCAUGCCGCGUGAGUGAAGAAGGCCUUCGGGUUGUAAAGCUCUUUCGGCUGGGAAGAAAUCGCACAGGCUAAUACUCUGUGUGGAUGACGGUACCAGCACAAGAAGCACCGGCUAACUACGUG